CUUUUUCAGGUCUCGCGAAUGCAUCCAAGAUGUUUAAUGAUCAUGGCUCAGAAUCACGCUGGCGUUAGUAGCCUAACACAUGCAAGUCGAACGAGAAAGUGGAGCAAUCCAUGAGUAAAGUGGCGAACGGGUGAGUAACACGUGACUACCUACCCUUGAGUGGGGGAUAACCCCGGGAAACCGGGGCUAAUACCGCAUAAUCUCGCAAGAGCAAAUGCGCAAGCAGCUUAAGGAGGGGGUCGCGGCUGAUUAGCUGGUUGGUGAGGUAACGGCUCACCAAGGCGAUGAUCAGUAGCCGGCCUGAGAGUGGCGCACGGCCACACUGGAACUGAAACACGGUCCAGACUCCUACGGGAGGCAGCAGUGGGGAAUUUUGCGCAAUGGGGGAAACCCUGACGCAGCAGCGCCGCGUGGAGGAUGAAGUUCCUUGGAACGUAAACUCCUUUCGACCGGGACGAUAAUGACGGUACCGGUAGAAGAAGCCCCGGCUGACUUCGUGCCAGCAGCCGCGGUAAUACGAGGGGGGCAAGCGUUGUUCGGAAUUAUUGGGCGUAAAGGGCGCGUAGGCGGUGCGGUAAGUCACCUGUGAAAACUCCCCGGCUCAACCUGGGGAAGCCUGGCAGAGCAGAAAACUCGCCCGNUGCUUGGGANCUNUUUGGGGACANAGGGUCCNUUGGAAAUUCCCCCGGGUGGUNAGCGGNUGAAANUGCGUAGAAUAUUCCGGGAAGGGAACACACCUGUGUGGCGAAAAAGCGGGGCCCUGGGACCUUAACUUGAAGCUGAUG
rnacentral:rRNA from 1 species